rnacentral:rRNA from 1 species
UCCGUAGUGAACCUGCGGAAGGAUCAUUACCGAGUGUAGGGUUCCUAGCGAGCCCAACCUCCCACCCGUGUUUACUGUACCUUAGUUGCUUCGGCGGGCCCGCCAUUCAUGGCCGCCGGGGGCUCUCAGCCCCGGGCCCGCGCCCGCCGGAGACACCACGAACUCUGUCUGAUCUAGUGAAGUCUGAGUUGAUUGUAUCGCAAUCAGUUAAAACUUUCAACAAUGGAUCUCUUGGUUCCGGCAUCGAUGAAGAACGCAGCGAAAUGCGAUAACUAGUGUGAAUUGCAGAAUUCCGUGAAUCAUCGAGUCUUUGAACGCACAUUGCGCCCCCUGGUAUUCCGGGGGGCAUGCCUGUCCGAGCGUCAUUGCUGCCCAUCAAGCACGGCUUGUGUGUUGGGUCGUCGUCCCCUCUCCGGGGGGGACGGGCCCCAAAGGCAGCGGCGGCACCGCGUCCGAUCCUCGAGCGUAUGGGGCUUUGUCACCCGCUCUGUAGGCCCGGCCGGCGCUUGCCGAACGCAAAUCAAUCUUUUUCCAGGUUGACCUCGGAUCAGGUAGGGAUACCCGCUGAACUUAAGCAUAUCAAUAAGCGGAGG